ensembl:lncRNA novel transcript
AUGUGUUUUUGGUUUUACUAUCUAAUUUCCAUGUUAUUUUUGUGUAGGAUUCAAGGAGAUUCAAAACCCGUGUCACUGCUGCCAUCUUCCUAGAAUCCCUUUAAAUCCUCAUGGAUUUGCUGACAUUGGGAGCAUCCUGAAAGAGUCCCCAUGCUAGGGUGGCUGCAGUAACAGGUACAAUGAGAAAUGAUGGUGAGUCCCAUAAAUGCCCUCAAUUCGACUUCCUCUGAGUACAACCUGAUAGCAAAGAUGUGCAGGAGGGAAGUUAGAAUGGUCUCAAAUAACUGUGUUUAUAGUUUACUGUUGCAAAUUUCACAAAAACAUAUGACCACAUGAACACAUUCCAAGGGCCCCUCCUAAGACCUUGGAAAGGGCAGCUGUCCACCAUUUUGAUAAAGAUUAAGUAGAUCAGGGUGUAUCCAUAAGAUGUAAUGGUAUGCAGCCAUGGAAAAUAAUCUUUCUGAAUUUAAAAAUAAUCUUUUCAUAAUAAUGAAUGUGCAUUGUAGAAAAUUAGAAAAUAUAGGUAAUAAAGCAUAAAGAAAAUAAGAAAAUAACAAUAUUUCUGCCACCCAGAGGUUAUCACUAAAUGUCCUUCCACAUUUUGACAUACUUUGACAAUGUUGCAUGCAAAGUGAAAAAAAAGUCAGUUCAAGUUGCACCUACAAUGUGAUAUUGGGUUGUGAAAUUAUGUAUGUUUUGAAAAGUAUUAAAAUACAAUAGACCAAAAAUGUUGACAGGGCUUAUUUGUGGAUCAUAGGCUUAGCGGUGAUUGUUAUUUUCUUAUUUCCUAUAUUUUCCACCACAGGAAUGUAGACUUUUAUAAUCAUUAAAAAUGAAUUAUUUAAAAAAGUAAUUAUGGUGAUUUCAGAAGUGAGGUUUGGUUGUGAGUGUGUUUGAAAUCGGAUGAACAGCUUAUUUUGUGUCUGCUGAUUAUGUGUCUGCAUUAUGUUGUUUCAGGUUCUCCCCACUCCAGAAAAAAUCAAAUCAGAUUGUGAAUUUAUUCCCUGACAUUAACACACGGCAUUACAGGAGCAUGUACAUCACAUGGUCAAUUUAUUGGCAUGAGGAUUAUGUCAUCGGGGAAUAAAUGGGAAAUUCUCAAGGUGGCCCAGGCCUGUAGGCUUCCAGUGAGAAAACUGGAGACCACACUCACCCGUCCCACUGCCGUUUCUUUGGGGCUGCCUGUGAUACUGGGUUAUUCCCCUUGCCGAGUUCCACUGUGCUUACCCUGUUGGAAUAUGAUGGUGGACUUGCCAGAGGAGAUGACCAUGAUUUUCAGGAACAGCAGCCCCUCCUUCCUGGUUGAGGCAGCCAGCAGGCACUCCUAUCCAUGAGCCACAGCUCAGCUAAGGCAAUCCAGUCCAGCUGCAUGCCCUCUCUCUGCUUCUGGGGAGGUAGGAAGGACCAGGGGCAUUCAUGCUUGUUUCUAGGGGGCCCUAACUGGAUCUCUGGAUCAAGACCUACUCAGGGGAGAAAGACUACUCUGGGUUCCAUGUUAGGACUGACGGGUGCAUCUUAACUGAGAUGCAGACAGUGGACAAUUCGAACUCUGACCUGAGAGCAAGCCCCAGCCUUGGUGCUCAUAAAUGCUCCGCUUGGUCCUUCACAUUUGUGUUCCACACAGGAGAAGCCAAGUUGUGAGCAGUGCACCUUCACAAGCAAAGCCUCGACUGAAAUCUUCUCUAACAAUUGGCUGGUCACUCCUGAGCGUAAUCUACCCCUUCAGAACACUGGGGAUGAAUUUAGAGACAUCGAAGCCUCCUGAUGAGAAAUACGUGUCCACUCACCGGGAGAACUGAAAUACCAGGAGAUUUCUACACAAAUCUCACAGAGUCCUUCUGGCGUCCUAGGGGUUUGCUCACAUAUAAGGGACUUUCUGGUAGGAAGAGAGUCUCUUUACAUUCUUUAUUAUAUGAUCCUGGUGGCUUUGUAGAGAGAUGGUACAGCUGACAGAUCAUGUCCUGUGGGGCCAGGGAGUUGUGUGUGUGUGAAUGCUCUGUGAACUUGGGCAAACUACUUAGCCUCUCUGAGCCUUAGCUGCAUCAGCUUUGAAAAACAGGAUGAUAAAAUGGAGUCACCUUAUUUGACUUUUAUAAAUACACUUACACAAUUACACAAGUUGUGGGGAUGGGAAGAGAGAGUUGGGGAAAGAGAAAUGAGAGAGAGAGAGAGAGAGAAUGAAUGAUAAACAAUUUAAACAACAGUGGGGUGUAGACCAACGCCCAGCCUGGCAAGGGUGAGCCCAGAGAGCCUUCCCUCCUGGCUAUUGGCAGCCUCCGCAUGGAAGCCUGUCGUUGACUUCUUAAUGAUGAGAGAUGUUCUGGGGGCACUCCAGGAUUCUUGGACAUGGGAUCGUCUUCACAGCUGUGUCUAUUGAAAGCUGAAGUUUCAGUCUCCCCUGCCCCCUGCCCCCUGGAGUGGCUUCCCAGGGGAAAUUCAAGGGCACCUGUGACUGCAUGGCUGCUUUCCUUUCCUUUACUCAAUGCCGUCCUUUGGUGACAGCCGUGUCUCAUGCCAGGAUACAUGAGGUGCUCUAUAGUAGUAUGUUUUCCCUCCUGGGAGGUAAUUUUAUUUAAAUGUGAAGUCAAAAGGAUCACUAAAUAGAACCAUGAGGCAACCACUCUGGGCACCUGCCUGGUGAUAUCCACAAGAGCUGACCACAGGUGCCCCCUGUGCCCAGCAAGUCCUUGGCUGGGCAGUCACACAACAGGCAUGGGGAUGUGUGGCCACCAAGCCCUCCAGGGCAGUGCUAUUUGUAAUAGUCCCAAAUGGGAGAGAUGGCAAACGCCCGCCAAUGGGGCAGCAUGGAUAAAUGGAUGCUGCACAGCAACGGCGAUGAGUGAGCCCCAGCACCCGUGAGCUCACCAGUGUAAUAUUGGGUGGAAGAAGCCAGGAGGAAGGGCAUUCACAUUCUGUGAUUCCAGCUACACUAUGUUUAAAUAUGGGCAGAGCUAGGCUGUGGUGCUGGAAGCCAGGACAGUGGGAUCCUUGCAUGGGGGUGAUGGUGCUGGUAGGUUCUGGUAAUUUCCUCUUCUUGAUCUGGGUGUAAACAUUUUGUGAAAAUUCAAUGAGCUGUACAUUUAUGACUGGUA